AUGGAAUCCGUAUUCGUUGGUGGAAAUACCAUUUUGUCCCCACAUACUCUUGCAAGGAAUGGUAGGGUGGCUUUCAUGGUGCCUCCUAGUAGUACUAGGAGAAACCUCCCCAAGAACCUUCGCUAUCCGCGGCAAGCAAAGCAUCCUCCUGAUCUGGGAGUCAAUCAGUUCUUGAAGAAGACAAGCAAUGAUGCCAGUGAGCCAGUUCAAACAGAGUUCCCUGAGGAGGAGGAAGAAAAAUAUACUGAAAACGGCGACAUUGUUUGGGAAUCAGAAGAAAUUGAAGCUAUUGAGUCACUUUUCCGAGGGAGGAUACCCCAAAAGCCGGGAAGUUUGAAUAGGCAGAGGCCUCUACCGCUGCCACUGCCUUACAAGGUUCGACCUUUGAGACUUCCUUCGCCAAAGAAAAAUGCUGUUAAGAUUGGACCCAUAUCUAAGCAAGUGUACAAGAACCCCAAUGCCCUUGUUGGGUUGGCAAGGGAAAUUAGAAGCCUUGGAGAAGAUAAAGAUGUGGGGAUAGUUCUGAACAAGAGGGUUCAGUUUCUGCGAAAAGGGUCUCUCUCCAUGACAAUACGGGAAUUGGGGCACAUGGGGCUUCCUGAGAGGGCUCUGCAGACCUUCUGUUGGGCUCAGAAACAGCCUCAGCUAUACCCUGACGACAGGAUUCUGAGUUCGACGGUGGAGGUCCUGGCAAGGAACCAUGAGCUCAAACUGCCGUUUAAUUUGGACAAGUUCACUAGCUCUGCUAAUCGUGGUGUGAUUGAGGCAAUGGUGAGAGGUUUCAUCAAAGGAGGAAGCUUGCAUCUAGCUUGGAAGUUAGUAUCGAUAGCCAAAGAUAAUCAAAGGAAGCUGGAUCCUAGCUUGUACGCAAAGCUAAUAGUAGAGUUUGGGAAAAACCCUGAUAAACAUAUGGUUGUGAUGACCUUACUGGAGGAGCUUGGAGAAAGAGAAGACCUGAAAUUAAGCCAACAGGACUGUACUUCUAUUAUGAAGGUGUGCAUUAGGCUAGGGAAAUUUGAAGUCGUUGAGAGUGUUUAUGAUUGGUUUAGACAAUCUGGACAUGAUCCAACUGUCGUAGUUUACACUACUUUGAUUCACAGCCGCUACUCCGAGAAGAGAUACAAGGCGGCCUUGGCUGUGGUUUGGGAGAUGGAGGCUUCAAACUGUCUCUUUGACUUUCCAGCUUAUCGAGUUGUAAUAAAAGUUUUUGUUGCUCUCAAUGAUCUUGCAAGGGCUGCAAGAUAUUUUUCGAAGCUUAAAGAAGCAGGUUUCACUCCGACAUAUGACAUAUACCGGGAUAUGAUCAGAAUUUACAUGGUUUCUGGGCGGCUAGCCAAGUGUAGGGAGAUCUGCAAGGAGGUAGAGAUGGGAGGACUGAAGUUAGAUCAAGAAACAAUGUCUCAUUUGUUGCAAUAA